rnacentral:rRNA from 1 species
AUUGGAGGGCAAGUCUGGUGCCAGCAGCCGCGGUAAUUCCAGCUCCAAUAGCGUAUAUUAAAGUUGUUGCGGUUAAAAAGCUCGUAGUUGGAUCUCAGUUCAUGCUAGAUGGUCCGCUUGCCGGCGGUUACUGUCUAGCUGAACAUCUUACAGACCCGUCUUGUGAUGCUCUUAACCGGGUGUCAUGAGCGAUCUGUACGUUUACUUUGAAAAAAUUAGAGUGCUUAAAGCAGGCAUAUUGCCCGAAUAAUCUUGCAUGGAAUAAUGGAAUAGGACCUCGGUUCUAUUUUGUUGGUCUUCGGAAUCUGAGGUAAUGAUUAAGAGGGACAGACGGGGGCAUUCGUAUUGCGGCGCUAGAGGUGAAAUUCUUGGACCGUCGCAAGACGAACUACAGCGAAAGCAUUUGCCAAGAAUGUUUUCAUUAAUCAAGAACGAAAGUUAGAGGUUCGAAGGCGAUCAGAUACCGCCCUAGUUCUAACCAUAAAACGAUGCCAA